UAACACAUGCAAGUCGAACGGGAUUCGAGAUAGCAAUAUUUUGAUGAGAGUGGCGCACGGGUGCGUAACACGUAUGCAACCUACCUUUAACUGGUGAAUAGCCCCGGGAAAUCGGGAUUAAUACACCAUAACAUUACGGAAUGGCAUCAUUCUGCAAUUAAAGAUUUUCGGUUAGAGAUGGGCAUGCGGGACAUUAGCUAGUUGGUGAGGUAACGGCUCACCAAGGCAACGAUGUCUAGGGGUCCUGAGAGGGUUUUCCCCCACACUGGUACUGAGACACGGACCAGACUCCUACGGGAGGCAGCAGUAAGGAAUAUUGGUCAAUGGGCGCAAGCCUGAACCAGCCAUGCCGCGUGCAGGAAGACGGCCCUAUGGGUUGUAAACUGCUUUUGUCAGGGAAUAAAUGUAGAUACGUGUAUUUACUUGAAGGUACCUGAAGAAUAAGCAUCGGCUAACUCCGUGCCAGCAGCCGCGGUAAUAAGGGCGAAUUC
rnacentral:rRNA from 1 species